AAAGGAAUUGACGGGGGCCCGCACAAGCAGCGGAGCAUGUGGUUUAAUUCGAAGCAACGCGAAGAACCUUACCAAGGCUUGACAUGGUUAUGGAUAUGCCGGAGACGGCAUAGCUCUUUAUGGGCAUAAUCACAGGUGGUGCAUGGUUGUCGUCAGCUCGUGUCGUGAGAUGUUGGGUUAAGUCCCGCAACGAGCGCAACCCUUGCAGUCAGUUACCAUCAUUAAGUUGGGGACUCUGACUGGACUGCCGUGGAGAACACGGAGGAAGGCGGGGAUGACGUCAAAUCAUCAUGCCCCUUAUGUCUUGGGCUACACACGUGCUACAAUGGCCGCAACAAAGAGGGACGAACCCGUAAGGGGGAGGGAAUCUCAAAAAAGCGGUCUCAGUUCAGAUUGCGGGCUGCAACCCGCCCGCAUGAAGACGGAGUUGCUAGUAAUCGCGAAUCAGCAUGUCGCGGUGAAUGCGUUCCCGGGCCUUGUACACACCGCCCGU
rnacentral:rRNA from 1 species